GUGAGGAUUGCCGAGCGCUCUAAGGCGCUGCGUUCAAGACGGAGUCCACACGUGUGGGCAUGGGUACGAAUCCCACUUCUGACA